ACCGUACAGCGUACACACACAGACGAAGCGCAGCGGGAGGAAAACAACAGGGAGGAAUCAAACCCUUUCUCUCAGCACCAAUGGCACGGUAUCUUCUCCCUUCCACCACCACCGCCGCCUCCUCGCUCCCGAGGAAUGCCAGGGCCUCGCCGGCGCCGAUCCUCGCUCUCCGCUCGCUCGCCUCCAGGUCCAAGCACGCGCGCGCUAUCAUGGCGGUGGCGUCGAGCCAGCCCGCCGCACCCAGCAAGUACCCGAAGAUGGCCGCCCCCACCACCGGCCCGGUUCCCGCCGACGAGCUGCUCGGCGUCAUCCAGGCCGCCGCCAAGGCAGGCGCCGAGGUUGUAAUGGAAGCUGUUAAUAAGCCGCGUAAUAUCCAAUACAAGGGGGUUGCAGACUUGGUGACAGACACAGAUAAACUGAGUGAAUCAGUCAUUCUUGAAGUCGUCACCAAGAACUUCAAAGACCACCUCAUACUUGGGGAGGAAGGUGGCCUUAUUGGAGAUUCUUUGUCAGAGUAUCUCUGGUGCAUUGAUCCUUUAGAUGGAACAACAAACUUUGCACAUGGUUACCCCAGCUUUUCUGUAUCCAUUGGUGUUCUAUUCCGAGGCAAGCCUGCUGCUGCCACUGUGGUGGAAUUUUGUGGUGGGCCUAUGUGCUGGAACACUCGUACGAUUUCUGCAUCUUCUGGAAAAGGUGCUUAUUGUAAUGGGCAAAAGAUUCAUGUCAGUCCAACAGAAAAGGUGGAACAAUCUCUUCUGGUUACUGGGUUUGGAUAUGAACAUGAUGAUGCAUGGCUGACCAAUAUAAAUUUGUUCAAGGAAUUUACUGAUGUUAGCAGGGGAGUACGAAGGCUAGGCUCUGCUGCUGCUGAUAUGUCCCAUGUUGGUCUAGGCAUUACCGAAGCCUACUGGGAAUAUCGGCUUAAGCCAUGGGACAUGGCUGCUGGUGUUCUGAUAGUUGAAGAAGCUGGUGGGGUAGUGACACGCAUGGAUGGUGGAGAGUUUACAGUCUUUGAUCGUUCUGUUCUUGUUUCCAAUGGCACUGUUCACGAUCAGCUUUUGGAGCGGAUCCGGCCUGCUACUGAAGACCUUAAGAAGAAAGGAAUUGAUUUCUCCAUGUGGUUUAAGCCUGAGAAUUACCCUACUGACUUUUGAAUCACGCAGCCCUUCAGCUACUUGGUUCUCUGUCAAGCAAAAAUAAGGAUAUUUUUGCCGAACGACCAUGUACUUACACUGACAAUACAUUUCAAGGUCCCCCGACCAAACGGAUCAAAAAUGAAAGCCAAAAUUUACUGAAGGAGUAGAGCUCGAAUGAGAUUCUCACCGGAUUCCUUUUGCUUUUGAUAGAAUGUAUCAGAAAGAAAUGCUUGCAAAGGGUGUUGUAUCGUAUGCAUGGUUUCUGCCAGUUGUACCUGGGAAAAUAUAACUGCCAAUUUUGUUAAUCAUGGAUAAUAGCAAGACUUCCAAGAACACAUACAAUGAUGUGCCGUGGAACUUGGUGCUUUUGCCGUCUCUCCAUGUAAACGCAAUUCUGGGGGAGAAAUGUGAUGUCAUCGUCCUUCCUUUUUUAUUUCAGCACGACUGGUUUCUUCCUCGUAUAGUUGUAUGAAACUAAGCUGGUGGGUAAGGCCGGAGGAAUUACAACUAAGCUCACAUGUUUUUACUUGAAAGCGGCGCGGAUCGGGCGCCGCUCUGCAUCCCUACCUCCAAUAAACCUCUUAGUUUUGCAUUGGGCAUAUAUUCAGAAACGCAACAGAAAAGCUUGUGCAGAUGUUUGGUUAGUCCAGUAACGGAGCAGUGCCACUGCCCGGUGCAGCCCAGCGCAACAGCCGGGUUUUAUUUGCCUUCUGGAUAAGGCAACGAUGGAUGGACGAUAAAUCAUGUGAGGCUCAAACGGCACACUAGAACUAGAUAGAACCAUGAGGCUCCAAGGGAAAUAUCUUUGCAAAUAUUCCAGUUUUUUCCCUCUUGCCAGUGCAGCCCCUGCCCCUCGUUCUUCCACAACUAUCAGGAGCAGAAGCGACCGCAAGCUCGACGAUAUCUGUCCCUUGGGAGAAGUGCAGGUUUGCCUCUGAAGACCUUCACCCUGCGCUCACCAUGUUGAGGAUACAGGCUCCGUUGCAUUAUCAUCCGACGAACGCAGGACCAAGAUGGCACAUUUGCGCCUGCGGGAGCAUUCAGCAAGGAACUUCUUCCCUGCACGACGCCGAGGUGAAUCCCUCUGGAUACGGCGAAAGAAAGAACCGGAAACACCCGGGCGCCUACAUUGACAAAGAUGGUGAAGCGCGGACCUUCGACCGGAAGAAAAUAUCGCGGAAAAGAGGGGGUGCAAUGAGAGGCCGCGGCUGGAAGUACGGCUCCGGGUUCGUGGACGGCGUGUUCCCGGUGCUCAGCCCCAUGGCGCAGGACAUCCUGGAGCUCGUUCAGAAGGGGACGGACGACGCCAAGGUCUGGGAGGCGCUGGACGACGUCCCUCCCACGCACGCCCUGUGGGACGACGUCCUCAACGUCGCCGUCCAGCUCCGCCUGAACCGGCAGUGGGAUCCCAUCAUCUCAGUACGUCCCCCCAAAACCCCCAGCACGCCGCCGUCGGUCAUCGCAUUUAAGCUCUGAUGGACGACGUGUGAUUCCUCAGAGGGUGUCUCGUUAGGUCUGCGAGUGGAUCGUGCACCGGAGCUCCUUCCGCCCGGACGUCGUCUGCUACAACCUGCUCAUCGACGCGUACGGCCGGCGGCGGCGGCUGGGCAAGGCGGAGGCCAUGUACGCGGCGCUGCUGGAGGCCCGGUGCGUGCCGACGGAGGACACCUACGCGCUCCUCCUGCGCGCCUACUGCACCGCCGGGUCGCUGCACCGGGCCGAGGGCGUCAUCUCCGAGAUGCGGGAGCACGGGAUCCCUCCGAGUGCGACCGUGUACAACGCGUACCUCGACGGGCUGCUCAAGGCGAGGUGCGCCGAGAAGGCGGUGGAGGUGUACCAGAGGAUGAAGCGGGAGCGGUGCCGGACCAACACGGAGACGUACACCCUCAUGAUCAACGUCUACGGCAAGUCGAAGCAGCCGAUGUCGGCGAUGAAGGUGUUCAAGGAGAUGCAGUCGCUGGGGUGCAAGGCCAACAUCUGCACCUACACGGCGCUGGUGAACGCGUUCGCCCGGGAAGGGCUGUGCGAGAAGGCCGAGGAGGCGUUCGAGGAGAUGCAGCAGGCCGGGCACGAGCCCGACGUCUACGCCUACAACGCCCUCAUGGAGGCCUACAGCCGCGCAGGGUUCCCGCAGGCCGCCUCGGAGAUCUUCUCCCUGAUGCAGCACAUGGGGUGCGACCCCGACAGAGCUUCCUACAACAUCCUCGUGGACGCCUACGGGAGAGCCGGCCUCCACCGAGGUGCGUACGUCAAUCAUGGACUCCUCGAACGCCGGCUGCUCCGGCGAGGUGCCGAGUCUGACAGCCAUGGAGUUUCUGUUGAUGGACGCAGAGGCGGAGGCCGUGUUCGAGUCGCUGAAGCGGCAGGGGAUGGCGCCGACGAUGAAGUCGCACAUGCUGCUGCUGGCGGCGCACGCCAGGUCCGGCAACGUGGCGCGCUGCGAGGAGGUGAUGGCGCAGCUGCACAAGUCGGGCCUCGCGCCGGACACCUUCGCGCUCAACGCCAUGCUCAACGCCUACGGCCGCGCCGGCCGGCUCGACGACAUGGAGCGGCUGCUCGCCGCCAUGGAGCGCCGGGGGACGCGCGACGUGGGCACGUACAACGUGGCCGUCAACGCCUACGGCCGCGCCGGGUACCUGGAGAGGAUGGAGGCGGCGUUCGCGUCGCUGGGGCGGAGGGGCCUCGCCGCCGACGUGGUCACGUGGACGUCCCGCAUGGGCGCCUACGCCAGGAAGAAGGAGUACCGGCGGUGCCUGGAGAUCUUCGAGGAGAUGGUGGACGCCGGGUGCUACCCGGACGCCGGGACGGCCAAGGUGCUCGUCGCGGCGUGCUCCGACGAGCGGCAGGUGGAGCAGGUCACCGCCAUCGUCAGGUCCAUGCACAAGGAGGCCAAGACAUUGUUCACCAUAUGAGAAAGAUGAAGAAAAUCUUGUGUUAAUUAGUUAGUGUAGACUUAGAUAAAGAUUAAUCAUUCAUGGAUUGUUUAUUUGCAAAAUUUUGUUCUUUUACGAAUCUAAAAUGAAUUUUUUUU
rnacentral:rRNA from 1 species